GCUGGUGUGGCUCAGGUGGUAGAGCAGCUGAUUCGUAAUCAGCAGGUCGCCGGUUCAAGUCCGGCCACCAGCUCCA
rnacentral:tRNA from 1 species